rnacentral:tRNA from 1 species
GGAAAGUUGGGUGAGCGGCUUAAACCAAGAGUUUGCUAAACUCUCGAUCGAGUAAUCGGUCCAGUGGUUCGAAUCCACUACUUUCCG